CACGUAGGGGGCGAGCGUUGUCCGGAAUCAUUGGGCGUAAAGAGCUCGUAGGCGGCUCAGUAAGUCGGGUGUGAAACCCUCAGGCUCAACCUGGGGACGCCACCCGAUACUGCUGUGGCUAGAGUCCAGUAGGGGAGUGUGGAAUUCCCGGUGUAGCGGUGAAAUGCGCAGAUAUCGGGAAGAACACCUGUGGCGAAGGCGGCUCACUGGCCCGGUACUGACGCUGAGGCGCGAAAGCUAGGGGAGCAAACGGG
rnacentral:rRNA from 1 species